rnacentral:lncRNA from 1 species
AAGAAAUGCAACUCACAGGGUCUUCAGAAAAUCAGGACACCUUUCAAGGCAGCCAGUCUAACCUUUGGCAGAACUGUUACAUUAAUCUUCCUUAAAGAGAAUGUUGUGGGUGCCACAACAGGCCUGUUGGAACCUCUCCAGAAACUGUGGCAUAUGUAUUAAACUAAGCUUGAGCAAGCCCAUUUUGCAGAUGAAGAAUCUGAAGAAAACAGGAUUAAGG